UACGAAGGGUGCAAGCGUUAAUCGGAAUUACUGGGCGUAAAGGGUGCGUAGGCGGUUGUUUAAGUCUGUCGUGAAAUCCCCGGGCUCAACCUGGGAAUGGCGAUGGAUACUGGACAGCUAGAGUGUGUCAGAGGUCGUGGAAUUCCCGGUGUAGUGGUGAAAUGCGUAGAUAUCGGAAGGAACACCAGUGGCGAAAGCGGCUUCCUGGUCCAGCACCGACGUUCAGGCACGAAAGCGUGGGAGCAAACAGGA
rnacentral:rRNA from 1 species